GAGCACGCCAAGCUCAUCAGCCUAUUUCUUUGGAAAAAAGACUUUCUUUGAAGCCCAUCCAAAGGUGCUGACGUCAGUGGAAGCCUUGCUUUCCUUGAGGGCCUUUGGAUCAGGUCUUUACUGUGUGGAUGUGGCAUUUGUGUUUCCCCAUGGCAACACAAACGUCCUGGGCAUGGAACACCUAUGGAUGUCCUUUGGAAACCGCCUGUCCCUCAAAAUGGCUAUAGACUCCGUAUCCAGGCAAUUUUCAGCAGUGUUCUGUAGUUUUCAGGUAGGUUGGAAAGAAGAAGGGAACGUACAUACCUGCCACCAGAAGAACUGGCACUGUGAGAUGGAGAAAGGAGAAGAGAAAAAGGCUGAGAUUGACUUAAAGCUUAACAGAGCUGACUGAUAUUUUUGGAGCAUAAAGUCUCCUGUGACAUUUUUCAGCACAAAGCUAAUUUGGAGUGAAGAGUUCUGUAAAUCUUUUGGUUUUUUUCUGCUUCCUUUCUGGGUCCUUUGCUUAUUUUAGUGGACCUACACAAAAAAUCUUACAAGAUUUUUGCACAAAGAGAAUAGCAAUAUGUUGUUUCUUGAGGGCAUAUUGUUCAGCAAUAGAGGAACAAAACACUGGCAUUUUGGGCCAGGAUAUUUGUUGCCCAGACACUUUUAUUCCUGCUCAAGUCAUCUUUGUCCUCUGAAUCUUCAAGGUCCGGUAUGUUCUACUGCACCAACUGACUGCCGAGGAG
rnacentral:lncRNA from 1 species